rnacentral:misc_RNA from 1 species
CUGAGUACUAUACUCUCUACCCUUUGUGAACUAUUAUACCUGUUGCUUCGGCGGCGCCCGCAAGGGUGCCCGCCGAUCUCAUCAGAAUCUCUGUUUUCGAACCCGACGAUACUUCUGAGUGUUCUUAGCGAACUGUCA